rnacentral:rRNA from 1 species
AUUGAACGCUGGCGGCAGGCCUAACACAUGCUAGUCGAACGGUAACAGGAAGCAGCUUGCUGCUUUGCUGACGAGUGGCGGACGGGUGAGUAAUGUCUGGGAAACUGCCUGAUGGAGGGGGAUAACUACUGGAAACGGUAGCUAAUACCGCAUAACGUCGCAAGACCAAAGAGGGGGACCUUCGGGCCUCUUGCCCUCGGAUGUGCCCAGAUGGGAUUAGCUAGUAGGUGGGGUAACGGCUCACCUAGGCGACGAUCCCUAGCUGGUCUGAGAGGAUGACCAGCCACACUGGAACUGAGACACGGUCCAGACUCCUACGGGAGGCAGCAGUGGGGAAUAUUGCACAAUGGGCGCAAGCCUGAUGCAGCCAUGCCGCGUGUAUGAAGAAGGCCUUCGGGUUGUAAAGUACUUUCAGCGGGGAGGAAGGGAGUAAAGUUAAUACCUUUGCUCAUUGACGUUACCCGCAGAAGAAGCACCGGCUAACUCCGUG